UAUGAAUCAUUAAACUAAUAACACAUGAUUUUAAUACAGAUUUGAAAAUCACUGAACCAAUAACACUAGAUUUAGUUCGGAUUUUCAAAUCCAUUAAAAUACAACAACCAUUAAGUAUCUCUCCAGUUUAACUGAAAAUAGAAUUAUUAAAGAGAUAACAACUAGAGAAAUUCUAUAAGAUAGCAAUUUUUAAGUUUUUGUCACAUAAAUAGCAUUCAAUGAGAAAAAUGACCAAAAUAAAUUUUAUUAAAAAGAUAAAAGUAUAUUUUCACUCUAGGAUUAACUAAUCUAGACUUAGCAUUCAAUGAGAAAACUGCGAUGUACUUGUAGAACAUGGAAUGCCUUAUCCAAAACUCAGGUUUUUGGUAAAGAAGCAGCAAGGAAUCAGUUUCUAGGGUUCACAGUGAUUAAUGGUAGGGUUUGUUCCUUGAAACUUGAACUGCAAGGAAUCCAUAACGAAGGAGACUUGGUUCAUCAAUCUACAAAGAAAAUGAGUAAACUUGAUCAAACCAUUAUUGAUCAAGUUUUCCACAGUGGUGGCUUAUUGUUAUGCAUCGAUGGAAACAGUAACCUCGUGGUGUGGAACCCGUAUCUGGGAAAAACCAGAUGUAUUCCACCUGCGAGUAGUGAUAUCGUAUUACAUGAUAUGUUUGGUUUCGGAUACGACAAAGAACAAUCGUAACCACAAAAUCUUAAGGUUUUUCUAUGACAAAGACCACCCCAUUUAAUUAGUAUUCUUAUUAACAUUUUACCAAAAAAAAAAAAAAGACCACCCCCAUUUUCUAUUUCGAAUUGUUCGAUUUUAAGACUAGUUCUUUGAGGUUUCUUGACAUCGAACCAGACUUUGAUCUAGAUUUUUGUUAAAGUGGUGUGUGGAAACACUUACUUUGUUGCUCAACAUAACAUAGCAAAGCUUGUAAACGUUUUACUCUGUUUUGAUUUCACUACAGAGAGAUUUUGUCAUCCUCUGCCGUUUCACUACGCAGCUGAGUUUGAAAACGUGGCUCUAUCUUGUGUUGGAGAGGAGAAGCUGGCUGUGUUGUAUAAACAUGAAGGCACAAUGGAGAUUUGGAUUACGACUAACAUUGAGCACCAUGCCGUAUCCUGGAGCAACUUUUUGAAAGUGGAGAUGAUACCCCUCAACGAUUUUCGGGAUGACUAGUUAUGACACCGAAACUUUAACUGAGAGCUCCUUCAUUGACGAGGAGAAGAAAAUUGCUGUAGUAUGUAAUGUAUUCAAUCAUAAACCAACCAAGAGCCACCAGAUAUGUUACACUCUCAAACCGCUCACAUCAUUGGACAAGACGGAUACCUGAAAUCUGUGCCUAUAGGAGAAUCAAGAAACCAUGUACAGUACAUACUAUGAAUCAAGUGUAGUGCAGUUAGGAAUCAACCAAGAGGAAACACAAAGAUGGCUUUUAUCAAAGGAAAAGAAAGAAAACAUAAGGGGGCAAGUUUAGUUGUAUUAUUUUAGUUCUUUAGAGCAUGAUUAUCGCGUUUUUUUAUAAGUAUCUCUUAAUUGCUGACUAGGAUAAAAAAUAAAUAAAAAAUGGGAAUUACGUUAAGGAACGUAGCUUAAUUAAGCACAAAAAGAGCCGCAUCUUGUGGACACGCAUCACGUUGAUAUGGUUCUGGGAGGAGAAUACGAGGGGAGAAAAAAAUCCAUUUUUCACUCGUCGACGGAGUGGAAACAAUCGUGGGUGAUCUCCUCGAAGAUGAAGCAAAGCGGCGGUGGCCUCCUCUCCGACCACAAAAUCAUAGGGUACAGAAAAUUCUCGUCUCUGGCUUCCUCUUUAUGCCUCUCGCUUCCUCUGUAUGACAACAAAACUCUCAUCUCUCGCUUCCUCUUUACGCCUCCAUAACACUCUUCUCGCUGGCACUCCUCUCAAGCCUUAACGCCUCCGUAGCAGACAGCUUCAGGGUAAGCGUUUGAGUAUUCUGAGCUUGAAAGAGCUGCAACACCUUGAGAAGCAGCUAGAUGUCGCAUUAAUAUCUGUGAGAGAGCGAAAGGAACUAAUGUUGACUAAACAGCUUGAAGAAUCACGCCUGAAGGAACAGCGAGCAGAGCUAGAAAACGAGACCUUACGUGGACAGGUACAAGAACUGAGGAGUUUUCUCCCGUCGAUCAACCAACACUAUGCUCCAUCCUACAUCAGAUGCUUCGCUAUAGAUCCCAAUACCUCACUUUUAAACAACACUUCCUUGGGAGACAUUAACUGCAGCCUCCAGACCUCCAAAUUUCAUUCAUGUAAUUAAAAUUGGUACAUUCAUGCAAUUAAAAUGUAUAAUAAUUUUUUUUGUAAGAAC